rnacentral:sRNA from 1 species
UAGAAGGGUCUCCAACAACAUUUAAAUCACAUUCUGUAUAUGGCAUCUAGUGGUCCUAAUCCACCUCCUCCACUCUAGGCACAAUCUAAUAAGGAGAAGGGAAAAAGCAACGUGGUGAAGUUGUUAUCACGGUGAUGGAGUGCAACGACAAUGUCAAUCCAAGAUGAACAAAAUCCUUAGUGAUUAUUAGGAAAUUAUAGACUUGUCAUUCUAUGUUGUUUGACAUUUUAUGAAUUGUAGAAUUUAUAUUGUUUGACAUCUUAGGAACUGCACAAUCUAUUUAUGAAUAUUAGACAUUUUGUA